GUAAACGUACACAGCACUUUCUAACUCCUGUGUUUGACCCAUCCUCCACACCGACCAACCUCCCUACGCAGAUUUUUGCCUUUUCAUGCUACUCGCUACGACGUCAAUUCACACGCAAUCGCAAGGUAAUGUAACAGACACACA